AUGGGGAGUGAGAGGUUGCUCUGGUGCAGCUGGAGGAAGAACAGGGAACCUAGGGUUGGGGAGAGAUGUAUAGAGGAAAACUCCCCCAGGCACACAGCCUCCGCUCUGGACCAACGCAGGCUUCAGUGAGUACACACAAAGGAACUGAUGUCAAGGCCCUUUCUAUGACCCUUCCCAUUCUAGCAAGACCUCCCACCCCAGUCAUCUUGGGAUCUACAGCCACAUGAAAUACAGACACAUCGUUCCCCCAAGUCAGGCCAGUUUUAGGCCAUUGAGUUAUGGGGAAAUGAUUAAUGGGAUGAAUGAAAAACAAAUAAAAUGAAUAAAUAAAUAAAUACACUAAAGCCUUAUUAGCCAGGCGUGAUCACAUGCCCAACACUCCCCUCCAUCCCAGCACUAUGCACAGUUCACGGCUCAUAUGCAAAGUGGAAGACACGUGGGACAAGAGCAAAGCACAAGCGACACAUGGUCCCUCUCUAACACCUCAGCACACCAACCCUGACGCUCCCAUCACAGACGCUGAUCAUUCUUCCACGGACCCCCUUUUAUAAUAAUCCUCAUUCACAUUUCUAGUUUCUGAGGGAAGAGAGAAAGAGAAAGGAAGAAGUGGAAAGUGCGGAACCCCAAUGAGUAGGGCACAGAAAGGAGGGCGAGCAGAGACAGCAAGAGGUCAGAUCAGGACAGCAAGGUUCCAGGAGGAUGAGACAGAGGUUCCACGUCUCCAGGCAAGCAGAGGAAUCACAGCACACUGGGAUUACGGAAGUUAUGUCCGGCAAAGCGAGCUUCAUCCCCCAGCUCUUCCUCAAUUCUG
rnacentral:lncRNA from 1 species